ACUGGGGGAGGUCACUCGAUACUGCUCGGCUUGAGGAUGAGAGAGGAGAGCGGAAUUCCCGGUGUAGCGGUGGAAUGCGUAGAGAUCGGGAGGAACACCAGCGGCGAAAGCGGCUCUCUGGCUCAUAUCUGACGCUGAGUGCACGACAGCGUGGGGAGCAAACGGGAUUAGAUACCCCGGUAGUCCACGCUAUAAACGAUGAGGGCUGGGUGUUGGUUCCAUUUGGAAUCAGUGCCGAAGCAAACGCGUUAAGCCCUCCGCCUGGGGACUACGAUCGCAAGAUUAAAACUCAAAGGAAUAGACGGGGGCCCGCACAGGCAGCGGAGCGUGUGGUUCAAUUCGAUGCAACACGAAGAACCUUACCAGGGCUUGACAUGUAAGUGGUAGGGAAGGGAAACCGGACCGACCC
rnacentral:rRNA from 1 species